CGAAUCCGAUAUGGAGUACCAAAUAUUAGCAGUGUAGCAUAACUGGCAAUGCACCAGCCUCUGAAGCUGAAUGAUUAAG
rnacentral:tRNA from 1 species